AGUGAACGCUGGCGGUAGGCCUAACACAUGCAAGUCGAACGGCAGCACAGUAAGAGCUUGCUCUUACGGGUGGCGAGUGGCGGACGGGUGAGGAAUACAUCGGAAUCUACUUUUUCGUGGGGGAUAACGUAGGGAAAUUUACGCUAAUACCGCAUACGACCUACGGGUGAAAGCAGGGGAUCUUCGGACCUUUCGCGAUUGAAUGAGCCGAUGUCGGAUUAGCUAGUUGGCGGGGUAAAGGCCCACCAAGGCGACGAUCCGUAGCUGGUCUGAGAGGAUGAUCAGCCACACUGGAACUGAGACACGGUCCAGACUCCUACGGGAGGCAGCAGUGGGGAAUAUUGGACAAUGGGCGAAAGCCUGAUCCAGCCAUACCGCGUGGGUGAAGAAGGCCUUCGGGUUGUAAAGCCCUUUUGUUGGGAAAGAAAAGCAGCAGGUUAAUACCCCGCUGUUCUGACGGUACCCAAAGAAUAAGCACCGGCUAACUUCGUG
rnacentral:rRNA from 1 species